rnacentral:lncRNA from 1 species
AGCUGCCCUGGGAAUCUUGUCUGAACAACAAGUUAACUGCUGUUCCCAGUUAUAUCUGGUCUUUCCCACCCCCAAACAUACACAAAAGAUUUUUGUCAUUCUUGGCACUGGACAACAGAAGUGAUAAGACAUGCCAGCAGAACUCUAAAGGCAGAAUGUCCUUCCACCUGUUUUAUGCUGUAAGACAAACUUCCAAGUGCGAGGCAGUGUGGAGGGCUGUUGCCUUGAAUGGCAGCUGAAUGCACCAGCGGGAUCCUUGGCAGCAAUGCCCAGGCACUGAAGUCGGGCAUUCAGGAGAGCUAAAUGGAGAAAAGAAACUUGAGCAAACUGCUUCCUGGAACACUGAGAACCUGAAUGGGAAAUUAAGAAGAACCAGAUUCUUUCUAUUCUUCCACCAGCCAAGUUUUGAAGAUUUGUUUUGAAUCUUGAAGAGAGAGCAGCAAG